GACGAACGCUGGCGGCAUGCCUAACACAUGCAAGUCGAACGAGACCUUCCGGUCUAGUGGCGCAAGGCUACGUACGCGAGGGAACGUGCCCUUAGGUUCGGCAUAACUCCCCGAUAGGGAUGCUAGUACCGGAUAAUGUCUUCACACCAAGGAUUUGUCGACUUUGGAUUGGCCCGCGUUGGAUUAGCGGGUUGGUAGGGUAAAAGCCUACCAAGGCGACGAUCCAUAGCUGGGCUGAGAGGAUGAUCAGCCACACUGGGACUGAGACACGGCCGAGACUCCUACGGGAGGCAGCAGUGGGGAACAUUGGACAAUGGGGGAAGGCCUGAUCCAGCAAUGCCGCGUGAGUGAUGAAGGCCUUAGGGUUGUAAAGCUCUUUUACCCGAGAUGAUAAUGACAGUACCGGGAGAAUAAGCUCCGGCUAACUCCGUG
rnacentral:rRNA from 1 species